AAUUAAUUUGCAGUAGAAAAUUGAGGUAUAAAAUAUUUCUAUUGGUUUCUUUAUUCUUAUAAUUUUUACAAGAGAAAUUGAAAAUGGAUUUACUACAGAAAGGUGUGAAAUUUGUUAUAAAUUUGAUGCGACAGUUCAAAGUUUUGUACUUUCCAGACCUGCACAACGAAUUACCUAUUUGAAAAAUAGAAUAUGGUUAAAAAUUGCUGAUGUGAUAGAGAAUUCAAGUACCAUUUACAAACAAAAUAUUGAAGAGAAUGUGCUCAAAGGAAAUGCAUAUGAAUUCAUUUUUGUUGACCAGGAUGGAAAAAUUCUUUGGAACCCAUAGAUAGAAUAAGUUAGUUAGGCCUAGUGGUGUACCAGCCAGAAGUAGAGGAUGACAAAGAAAAUCA